rnacentral:rRNA from 1 species
GUGCCAGCCGCCGCGGUAAUACGGAGGGAGCUAGCGUUGUCCGGAAUCAUUGGGUGUAAGGGUGCGUAGGCGGGUUGCUAAGUCUGGGGUGAAAUCCUGCUGCUUAACGGUAGAAUGGCCCCCGAUACUGGCAGUCUUGAGUACAGAAGAGGUCGGUGGAAUUCGUAGUGUAGCGGUGAAAUGCAUAGAUAUUACGAAGAACACCAGUGGCGAAGGCGGCCGGCUGGUCUGUAACUGACGCUGAGGCACUAAAGCGUGGGGAGCGAACAGGAUUAGAUACCCUGGUAGUCCACGCUGUAAACGAUGUAUGCUAGGUGUCGGCCUUUCGGGGUCGGUGCUGCAGUUAACGCAGUAAGCAUACCACCUGGGGAGUACGUCGGCAACGAUGAAACUCAAAUGAAUUGGCGGGG